rnacentral:rRNA from 1 species
AGAGUUUGAUCAUGGCUCAGAAUCAACGCUGGCGGCGCGCUUAACACAUGCAAGUCGCACGAGAAAGUGGAGCAAUCCAUGAGUAAAGUGGCGUACGGGUGAGUAACACGUGGAUCAUCUACCUCUUGGUGGGGAAUAACCCUGGGAAACCGGGGCUAAUACCGCAUAAGCCUGCGAAGGGAAAGCAGCAAUGCGCCGAGAGAGGAGUCCGCGGCCGAUUAGCUAGUUGGUAGGGUAAAGGCCUACCAAGGCAAUGAUCGGUAGCCGGCCUGAGAGGGCACACGGCCACACUGGCACUGAAACACGGGCCAGACUCCUACGGGAGGCAGCAGUGGGGAAUCUUGCACAAUGGAGGAAACUCUGAUGCAGCGACGCCGCGUGAGCGAUGAAGCCCUUCGGGGUGUAAAGCUCUUUCGACGGGAACGAUAAUGACGGUACCCGGAGAAGAAGCUGCGGCUAACUACGUGCCAGCAGCCGCGGUAAUACGUAGGCAGCAAGCGUUGUUCGGAAUUACUGGGCGUAAAGAGUGUGUAGGCGGUUCUCUAUGUUCGGUGUGAAAUCUCCCGGCUUAACUGGGAGGGUGCGCCGAAAACUGGAGGGCUUGAGUAUGGGAGAGGAAAGCGGAAUUCCUGGUGUAGCGGUGAAAUGCGUAGAUAUCAGGAGGAACACCUGCGGUGUAGACGGCUUUCUGGACCAUCACUGACGCUGAGACACGAAAGCGUGGGGAGCAAACAGGAUUAGAUACCCUGGUAGUCCACGCCCUAAACGAUGCAUACUUGGUGUGAGCCGUUCAUUCGGUUCGUGCCGGAGCUAACGCGUUAAGUAUGCCGCCUGGGGAGUACGGUCGCA